UGGGUGAUCUGCCCUGCACUUCGGGAUAAGCCUGGGAAACCGGGGCAAUACCGGAUACGACCUCGAGCGGCAUCACUUGAGGUGGAAAGCUUUUCGGCUAGGGAUGGGCCCGCGGCCUAUCAGCUUGUUGGUGAGGUAACGGCCCACCAAGGCGACGACGGGUAGCCGGCCUGAGAGGGCGACCGGCCACACUGGGACUGAGACACGGCCCAGACUCCUACGGGAGGCA
rnacentral:rRNA from 1 species